AUUGAACGCUGGCGGCAGGCCUAACACAUGCAAGUCGAACGGUAACAGGAAACAGCUUGCUGUUUCGCUGACGAGUGGCGGACGGGUGAGUAAUGUCAGGGAAACUGCCUGAUGGAGGGGGAUAACUACUGGAAACGGUAGCUAAUACCGCAUAACGUCGCAAGACCAAAGAGGGGGACCUUCGGGCCUCUUGCCAUCGGAUGUGCCCAGAUGGGAUUAGCUAGUAGGUGGGGUAACGGCUCACCUAGGCGACGAUCCCUAGCUGGUCUGAGAGGAUGACCAGCCACACUGGAACUGAGACACGGUCCAGACUCCUACGGGAGGCAGCAGUGGGGAAUAUUGCACAAUGGGCGCAAGCCUGAUGCAGCCAUGCCGCGUGUAUGAAGAAGGCCUUCGGGUUGUAAAGUACUUUCAGCGGGGAGGAAGGGAGUAAAGUUAAUACCUUUACUCAUUGACGUUACCCGCAGAAGAAGCACCGGCUAACUCCGUG
rnacentral:rRNA from 1 species